CAAUAGCGUAUAUUAAAGUUGUUGCAGUUAAAAAGCUCGUAGUUGGAUUUCUGGUGGGAGCGAUCGGUCUGGCGCUUAGCGCGAGUACUUGCAUCGUCUCCGGCCAUCCUUGGGGAGAGUCUGUCUGGCAUUAAGUUGUCGGGCAGAGGAUCCUCAUAGUUUACUGUGAAAAAAUUAGAGUGUUCAAAGCAGGCUUAUGCCGUUGAAUAUAUUAGCAUGGAAUAAUAAGAUAGGACUUUGGUACUAUUUUGUUGGUUUGCGCACCAAAGUAAUGAUUAAUAGGGACAGUUGGGGGUAUUCGUAUUCCGUUGUCAGAGGUGAAAUUCUUGGAUUUACGGAAGACGAACUACUGCGAAAGCAUUUACCAAGGAUGUUUUCAUUAA
rnacentral:rRNA from 1 species